AAAUCACUUCAUGUGUUUGAAGGUUCUAUCCUUAUAAUCUUCUUUAGAUUGACAUCCGGCCACUGAAACUACAAUUUUCUUAUGUUAUAUAAAAUCCGAGGAGUCAUGGCUAUCCUUUACUCAAGAGGCUUAUAUCUUACAUAACAACAAGCAUGUCUAAUUCUGAGGAAGAUACCUCACGGACUAUUGAGAGAGAAUGUCAGAGGCAGCUGGAGACGCAUGGAAGAAUUAAUUUCGCCAACUACAACUACACCCUCUUAGAACUAAGAUGUCUUAUGGGCCACAGAUUUUGGCGAUGUCAUUAUAUUAAACGUAAGGCAUGUUUGGAUGUAAGGCAUGCUCGGUUGAAUUGAACUAAAGGACACAAAGAAAAAUGGAAAAAAAAAACAAUCUUGAAUCAGGUAUCAUUAUUCUAAUUUGAAUGAGGUUGGCAUUGCAUAUCAUGUAUUUUAAUUCAGACUCAAAAUCAUUUGAAUUUGCAGUUUCGGUCUUUUUCCCUCUAGCAGUGUGCUUGCUACUCGUUUUUUGUCAAAGCGAAUGCUUUUUUGAAUUUGAAUCAAAUUAAGGUCCUGCUUUCCAACCAAAUGUAACUAAAUGGCGAUUUCGACUACUACCCAUUUAAUGUCUGACAAAAGAAAUGCUUCUAGCCAUCCAAAUCUACCAACAACAUUGAUGGUAUGACCUAAAUGAUUACGUUUAGAUACUUCUAGCCAUUUAAACAAUCCAUUCUUCCCCUGUAAAAUGUAAAUAAUUGUCCAUCCAUUUG